AUGUCCAUGGCGCUGCUCAACCUGGCCACGAAGAUGCGGCCCCCGGCCGCCGCCGUCCUCCGUCCCCGCGUCUCGCCUCCGGCCGGCACGCGGCCCCUCCGCUCCAGGCUCUUCAGCUCCUUGGAGGAAGAUGGGGAAAGUGCGAUGAGGCUGUACCAAGAGAAUCUAGCUACACUUGAUCGAGUGAAGAAACACCAGGAAUGGUCGCGCAUUGCGUUUCUCGGGAAGGUGAACAAGUGUCUGAGAUGGUCUUUCAAGCUGCUUAUGCCUAUUCCCACCGCAGCUGUUAUCCUGAAAGUGAUCGAUCACCAGUUA
rnacentral:rRNA from 1 species